rnacentral:rRNA from 1 species
UACCAGCUCUCCGAGUGGUAGGGAUGAUUAUUGGGCUUAAAGCGUCCGUAGCCGGCUUAGCAAGUCUCCUGUUAAAUUCAGCGACCUAAUCGUUGAGCCGCGGGAGAUACUACUAGGCUAGGAGGCGGGAGAGGUCAACGGUACUUCCGGGGUAGGGGUGAAAUCCUAUAAUCCCGGGAGGACCACCAGUGGCGAAGGCUGUUGACUAGAACGCGCCCGACGGUGAGGGACGAAAGCUGGGGGAGCGAACCGGAUUAGAUACCCGGGUAGUCCCAGCUGUAAACGAUGCGAGCUAGGUGUUGGGGUGGCUACGUGCCAUUCAGUGCCGCAGGGAAGCCAUUAAGCUCGCCGCCUGGGGAGUACGGCCGCAAGGCUGAAACUUAAAGGAAUUGGGCGGGGAGCACCACAAGGGGUGAAGCUUGCGGUUU